UCUAACAACUAUCACAACAAAUUUUAAUUGCAAAUUCAUUGCGGAUCUUAAGAUAUCACCAAAAUCCUAACAGUAGCUUCAAACCCUAGUUUUUAUAUACUUGUGUGUAAUUUUCUUUAUAUCUCACAAACUAAGCACUCAAAUGCCACAAAUUUUGUAUAUAUAGCUUUGUGAUACAAUAUUCUAGCUUCUCUAUAAGUUUUGAGCCAAAAAUUCAUCCAAAAAUUCAAGAUAUGGCUCCAACUAUUACUAUGAAUAAAAUCACUUACUAACUACUUUUGAUUUGAAUGCACUGACUUCAACCUUCUAUCACUUCUUUAUCCAAACUCCAAAUUCAUCAAACAAUAUAUGAAAAUUUUAGUUAAUAAAGUGCUCUCUCUAAUCUUAAUCUUUGAACUUUUGUUGCUCUCUAUAAACGUAUGUUAUGCCCCAAAGAGUGAUAGUAGAUAUGAAAUUGAUACCUUAACUUUGAGCGCCAAUAACUCAUUCAUUAGA
rnacentral:lncRNA from 1 species